rnacentral:rRNA from 1 species
GACGGAGGGUGCUAGCGUUGUUCGGAAUGACUGGGCGUAAAGGGCGCGUAGGCGGCUCGUGAAGUCGGGUGUGAAAGCCCGGGGCUCAACCCCGGAACGGCAUCCGAUACUGGCGGGCUUGAGACCGGGAGAGGAGGGUGGAAUACCCAGUGUAGAGGUGAAAUUCGUAGAUAUUCGCAAGAACACCAGUGGCGAAGGCGGCUCACUGGCCCGAUACUGACGCUGAGGUGCGAAAGCGUGGGGAGCAAACAGGG